rnacentral:rRNA from 1 species
AAGCGGAGGAGCAUGUGGUUAAUUCGAUGAUACGCGAGGAACCUUACCUGGCUCGAACGUAAGAUGACUGUAGGUGAAAGCUUACAUCUCUUCGGAGCAUUUUACGAGGUGCUGCAUGGUUGUCGUCAGCUCGUGCCGUGAGGUGUCGGGUUAAGUCCCGUAACGAGCGCAACCCUUGUCCUUAGUUACCAGCACGUUAUGGUGGGCACUCUAAGGAGACUGCCGGUGACAAACCGGAGGAAGGUGGGGAUGACGUCAAGUCAUCAUGGCCCUUACGGCCUGGGCUACACACGUGCUACAAUGGUCGGUACAAAGGGUUGCCAAGCCGCGAGGUGGAGCUAAUCCCAUAAAACCGAUCGUAGCCCGGAUCGCAGUCUGCAACUCGACUGCGUGAAGUCGGAAUCGCUAGUAAUCGUGAAUCAGAAUGUCACGGUGAAUACGUUCCCGGGCCUU